UACGAAGGGGGCUAGCGUUGCUCGGAAUCACUGGGCGUAAAGGGUGCGUAGGCGGGUCUUUAAGUCAGGGGUGAAAUCCUGGAGCUCAACUCCAGAACUGCCUUUGAUACUGAAGAUCUUGAGUUCGGGAGAGGUGAGUGGAACUGCGAGUGUAGAGGUGAAAUUCGUAGAUAUUCGCAAGAACACCAGUGGCGAAGGCGGCUCACUGGCCCGAUACUGACGCUGAGACGCGAAAGCGUGGGGAGCGAACCGG
rnacentral:rRNA from 1 species